CAACACCACACCAUGAUUACAGUGAACAGAUUUUAAGUAGUGUCUUUUGCAUCUGUUGGUGUUCAAAACGCAGUAAUUUUUGCCACUGAUGGUUGGCAAGAAAUAAGCAGAAGGACAAUUCCGAACUGUGCUGCUUACUGUGGGUUCAAGCAUUCAGAUUUGGAGAUGCCGGAAAAAGCCGGAAGUGAAAAUGAAACGAUUUCACUACUUUACCAAAGAAUUUGAAGAAAACUGAGAACAUUUCUGCGGUAUUUGAAACGAUGAUCAACCCUCUUGCUGACUCAGAAAUAUGGUUGCAAAAAGCUUCGGGAUUACUAUCCAAUGGAGGAAACUGCUGUGCCCCGAGGUCACAUGUGGUCACCGGGAGAGCAUACGGACAGCGGUGGGAAUUGAGCCUCUGCGAUGACUCGCUGGAAAAAAUAAUAAUUUCAUCCACAGGAAGAAGAAAAUGUUCUGUAUUCAGCCACCCAUCCUCUCCCUCACUUGGUCUCCCCGAGCAUCUGCCAACCCGUACUCCUUGCCCUGCCCCCGCCUUCUUAUUCUGGCUUCUUCCCCAUUCCUCUUCAGUCCUGAUGAAGGGUCUCGGUCCGAAAUAUCAACUGCUUAUUCCUCUGCCUGACCUGCUGAGAUCCUCCAGCACACUGAGUGUGUGGAGUGCAUAUUCCUUAAGAUUUUCAGCAUCAGCAGAAUCUCUUGUGUAAAUGAUUGCACAUUAAAAAUGGUCGCAAUAUGUUUCACAUAUUCCAUUGACAGAAAGUGUCCAUGUCACAUCCCACGAGCGUUGUGGAUAUACAGUACUGUGCAAAAGUCUUAGGCACCCUAGCUCUGUGUAUGCAUCUAAGACUUUUGCACAGUAUUGUGUUUGUCAAUGUGGAGCAGAGAGCCAGUUUGUAAAUCUGGUGGGAGCAAAGGAUGUUGGUAAUGGUGAGGGUGGUGUGCUGCGAGAGGUGGGUGGGACAGGUGGCAGAGAAGGAAUGCCAGGGGCGGGAUCCAAUUCCAAACAAUUGGUUUAUUGAUCAUUACAGAAUGUCUCUCUGGUGCCUUUUCCCAGAUUCCCCUCUCCCUGCCUCCUUCCCACUCUCAGUCCACAAUAGAGACCAUAUCAGAAUCAGGUUUAUCAUCACUCACAUAUGACAUGAAAUUUGUUUUUUUUUUGUGACAGCAGAAUAGUGCAAUACAUAAAAUCACUGUAGUGCUGUACAAAAGUCUUAAGGCACCCUAGUUAUAUAUAUAUAUAUAUACCUAAGAUUUUUCCGCAGGACUGCAUAUGAACAUACUGGUUCUGCAGCUAACUAGAGGAAUCAGUGUGACAUUCUUUCCAGUGUAAUGUUGUGACUGGAAAUUGUGUUAGUGGUAAGGCUGGUUGUGGUUCUAUAUAUUAUAUAUAUCAAUUCAUGUUCAUUUACUGCCCAUUACGCCGCUGGUGUUUAGGGCAGCAGUGAAAGUCCUCCAUCUCUGGCGGUGUUCAGGGCUUCCUUCAUCAUGUCAGCAGCUUCCUCUCAGUUUUCACUACCGUCAGUCAUACAAGUCCCGAGCGGAGAUUCAGUAAUACUGUUGCACUCAGAUGUAGAGGUUUCUUCAUUGCUGUUUCCAUAACAAUUCUGUUUUACCAGUCAGGGUUGUCAGUCCUGAGCUGAACCCAUGAACCUAGGAGGACUGGUGGACCACUCUUAGUCUGUCCUCUGAUCUGUUCUGCAUGGGUGACCCCACCAAGAGCCAAAGCACAAGGCUUGUAGUCCUCUUAUAUCAAAGAUCAACUUUAUUCACCUCAGUUCUUUUACAGUGGCCCCAUGCUCUAAAUUCUCCCAUGAAGUGAAACAUCCCCUCCACACCAAGAAAGUUCAAGACCCCUCAGGACCUCAUUUGUUUUAUUCAAGUUAGUAUUUAACUAAAUGCUGAAGUCUUAACCAAAUCAUAAUUCUCACUCCCGAGAAAUGCAGUAUUUUCAAGUAUCAAGGAUCAACUUUAUUCAUUAUGUGCAUUUAUAUGUAUUAGGUACUAGCUGUGGUGUGUUAGACCAUCAGACCAUACGACCUCAGAGCAGAAUCAGGCCAUUCUGCCCAUCGGGUCUGCCCUGCCAUUCCAUCAUGGCUGAUUUAUCAUCAGCAUUGGUGCAAUAUACAACAAAAAAAACAACAUUCAACGAUUAUAAAAAAUGAAGAAUUAUAUAAAAAUAAGUUAGAGUUUAAUGUACAGAUAUGGAAAUAAUGUGCAUAAAUACUUAAAUACCAACAUGCAUCUGCUAUGUAAGCAAACAUUAUAAAAAGUGGUUUGAAGUGUUUACAGCACAGUGCAGUGGCUGAGGUAAUCGACUGAGGGGGUGGGGGGAAUAACUGGAAUGCUUGAUCAGAUUAACCACCCAUGGGAAAAAAACUUGUAAGACAGCGUGAAAAUGGGCAACUUUAUAAAUAUGCUGCUUUGUUUAUUAAUUUAUUUAGUGAUAAAGCGCGGAACAGUUCCUUCUGGCCCACUGCCCAGCAGUCCACCUAUUUAAUACUAACCUAAUCGCAGGGCAAUUUACAAUGACCAAUGGGCGACAUGGGAGCAUGGUGUUGUGGAGGGUUGAGAUAUGGUCACACUGAAGAACCUUUGUAUGCUUAGAUAUAGGGUGGCACCAUAGUGUAGAAGUUAGCACAACGCUUUACAGUACCAGUGACCUGAGUUCAAUUCCUGGCUGUAAGGAGUUUGUACGUUCUCCCUGUGACCACGUGGGCUUCCUCCAGAUGCUCUGGUUUCCUCCCACAUUCCAAAUCUGUACAGGUUGGUAGGAUAACGGCUCAUUGUAAAUUGUCCUGUGAUUAGGCUAGGAUUAAAUCAGGCGAUUGCUGGGCGGCUUGGCUUAAAGUUCUCGAAGGGCCUAGUCUGAGCUGUGUUUCAAUAAGUGAAUAAAUUAACUCAUGUGCACAUGGGAAGAACGCACAAACUUUCUAAUAACUAUGUUUAUAUGUAUCGACAAAUUAGUUGGAAUAAAGUGCCUUUGAAAUGUGACCUCAAUAGUGUAAAGGAAAACCUUCUAGUUCUCGUGUUCAUGAAAUCACGUUUAUGUAUAUUUUGCUUAAGCCAUAAAUAUUCAUUUUGUUCUUCUGAGGAAAGGAUUGCCCUUUAGAUACAGAAUAAUCCAUGAACUGAAAUACUUAUACCAGAAGACAGGAGUUUGUUAAUAACCGAUUAUUUCUGCGGUAGCAUACCCCUGAUUCACAGCAUCUUAUCCUACAGUUUGACUGUAAUUAAUCACCUAAAUCUCCAAACAAAACCCUCAGUGUGGUGUUAAUUGGUGGACCUGAGAAGGUGAGAUUGAGACGUGCCAAUUGCAGCGGUGGACAGAUGGUUUCAGAUUUUCACAAUGUGAUGUCUGUUAGCUAUCAAAUUAAAUUGGCAUUGUUUAUAUUGUUUUUAAUAGGAUAGGCCAUAUUUUUUGGCUUUACUUGGAACUGAAUAUAAACCAUCUGCAUCUUCUCUCUACGUAAUUGCACUGAACAGUAGAACAUCACCUACAAUUAACCAGUGAGUCAAGCUGGGGCCUUUGUGAUGCUGUGGUUGCCCAAGAGGUUAGCGGCUGAUAGGUUAAUAGUUUGAUAGGUUUUUAUUCGGAAAAAAAGCUGGUUUUGGUAAUACGAAAAAAACAUCUGUGGAGAGUGAGCACGUCGAGACGACCAGCUGGCAUAUUCCAGUCUGCUGGAGUUGCAGUGACGCUUGGCACAGCCACUGCUAGUGCUCGGUGGGGAAGGACCACAGUGUGGGGUUCUUCAGCUAUUGGACGGUGGGGGGCCGGGUUGGGUGACGAAGCCUCUUAAUUAUUGUCGUAGCGUACCACCCCAGGGGACCAUAUGAGUGGCAACAGUAUUAAGGAAUGUAAUUGAACCCUACUUAACACAUUGUCUAUGAACGUAACGAUGAAAAGGCAUUGCAUGGUUUAUCCUCGUAUUUUAGUUUAUUAUGAAUAAAGCUGAU